GACGUAGGGUGCAAGCGUUGUCCGGAUUUACUGGGCGUAAAGAGCGCGUAGGCGGUUCAUUAAGUGUGAAGCUAAAUCUCUUGGCUCAACCAAGAAACUAUUUCGCAUACUGAUGGGCUGGAGUGAUGCAGAGGUGGAUAGAAUUCCCGGUGUAGCGGUGAAAUGCGUUGAUAUCGGGAGGAACACCAGUGGCGAAGGCGACUUCCUGGCCUGUUCUUGACGCUGAGGCGCGAAAGCUAGGGGAGCAAACGGG
rnacentral:rRNA from 1 species